rnacentral:rRNA from 1 species
AGCUGAUCACUGGGUGUAAAGCGUGCGCAGGCGGUUUCGUAAGACAGAGGUGAAAUCCCCGGGCUCAACCUGGGAACUGCCUUUGUGACUGCAAGGCUGGAGUGCGGCAGAGGGGGAUGGAAUUCCGCGUGUAGCAGUGAAAUGCGUAGAUAUGCGGAGGAACACCGAUGGCGAAGGCAAUCCCCCUGGGCCUGCACUGACGCUCAUGCACGAAAGCGUGGGGAGCAAACA